rnacentral:rRNA from 1 species
AGUGAACGCUGGCGGUAGGCCUAACACAUGCAAGUCGAACGGCAGCACAGUAAGAGCUUGCUCUUACGGGUGGCGAGUGGCGGACGGGUGAGGAAUACAUCGGAAUCUACUUUUUCGUGGGGGAUAACGUAGGGAAACUUACGCUAAUACCGCAUACGACCUACGGGUGAAAGCAGUGGAUCUUCGGACCUUGCGCGAUUGAAUGAGCCGAUGUCGGAUUAGCUAGUUGGCGAGGUAACGGCCCACCAAGGCGACGAUCCGUAGCUGGUCUGAGAGGAUGAUCAGCCACACUGGAACUGAGACACGGUCCAGACUCCUACGGGAGGCAGCAGUGGGGAAUAUUGGACAAUGGGCGCAAGCCUGAUCCAGCCAUACCGCGUGGGUGAAGAAGGCCUUCGGGUUGUAAAGCCCUUUUGUUGGGAAAGAAAAGCAGCAGGUUAAUCCCCCGCUGUUCUGACGGUACCCAAAGAAUAAGCACCGGCUAACUUCGUG